ensembl:lncRNA
UCCAGAAAGAUGACCCUCUCUCUCUCACCAGCCCUGGGGACAUGAAGGCACGGACACCUUGCCUGGAAUCACGUGACACAGAACAGGCGGGAUUAGGAUUCAAAUUCAGGGCUCCCUGACUCUGAAGACGGUUCCUUCUGCUAGCGCGGUGAGGCUGUGGUGUCAACUCCAUCAUACAGACCAGGAAAUGGGGUCCCAGGAGAGUCAAAGUCACCCAGCAGGAAACUUUCGAUUUCUUAUCUCAUUGAAAUCGUAUAAAGUAUGCAACUGAGUUACAGACUGAGCUGCAGGAAAUUGAAAGGAAAGUGAAGUCGCUCAGUCAUGUCCGACUCUUUGUGACCCCAUGGAGUGUAGCCUACCAAGCUCCUCUGUCCAUGGGAUUUUCCAGGCAAUAGUAACUGGAGUGGAUUGCCAUUUCCUUCUCCAGGCUGGCAUGGAUCUUAUGAAGACAUUGUGUGCUAAACAUGGAUUUCUAUUCCUGGCACAUAGACCUCCAAUAAAAGGUGGCCUCUUUUAAUG